GACGAACCGUGCGAACGUUGUUCGGAAUCACUGGGCUUAAAGGGGGCGUAGGCGGCUCGUUAGGUAGGGUGGGAAAGCCCCCGGCUCAACCGGGGAAUUGCGCCCUAAACCGGCGGGCUGGAGUGAGAUAGGGGUGUGUGGAACUUCCAGUGGAGCGGUGAAAUGUGUUGAUAUUGGAAGGAACGCCGGUGGCGAAAGCGACACACUGGGUCUCAACUGACGCUGAGGCACGAAAGCCAGGGGAGCAAACGGG
rnacentral:rRNA from 1 species